rnacentral:rRNA from 1 species
UACGUAGGGGGCAAGCGUUGUCCGGAGUUACUGGGCGUAAAGGGCACGCAGGCGGUCGCGUAAGAGUGCGGGGACAGUGGGCGGCUUAACUGCCCAAGGGUCGCACAGACUGCGUGACUAGAGGGCCAGAGAGGGACCUGGAAUUCCGGGUGUAGCGGUGGGAAUGCGUAGAGAUCCGGAAGAACACCGGUGGCGAAGGCGGCCCGCUGGGCAACUGCUGACACUGAGGCGCGACAGCGUGGGGAGCAAACAGG